UACGUAGGGCGCAAGCGUUGUCCGGAAUCAUUGGGCGUAAAGGGCGCGUAGGCGGCCGUCCCAAGCGUGCGGUGAAAGUCAGGGGCUCAACCCCUGAUCGGCCGUGCGAACUGGGGGGCUCGAGCACUGUAGAGGCAGGCGGAAUUCCGGGUGUAGCGGUGGAAUGCGUAGAGAUCGGGAGGAACACCGGCGGCGAAGGCGGCUGCCUGGACCGGCCCUGACGCUGAGGCGCGAAAGCUAGGGGAGCAAACAGG
rnacentral:rRNA from 1 species